UGGGUAUUUAGUUUAUUCUAAAACAAAUGUUUUGAAAACAUUAAUAGGAAUCUUAUUUUUCCAAUCCCC
rnacentral:tRNA from 1 species